GUUUACAGUGAAAUGAGGGAAGAGAAUAUCAGUUCAAGGGAAGGUUUUCGGUUGAGUCCAAGCGUUUUGACUUUUGUCUCUCGGAUCCACCACAGGUUGGAUUUGAGAGCCAUGUGAUGGGUGACUAUUAAGAACAAUCCGGAGAGCCCAUUUAUUCUGUCAAGAGGAGUUUAGUCCAAUUAAUGUUGAAUCAUUCCUUACUUCAGGGCUUCUUGCCUUUUGAAAAUUCACACCUCAAUUCAUUGAUGACCUAAGAGAAAUUUCAGCUUCUAACCUUCGAUUAAUUGCAUCCCCUCGUAAGCAGCUGAAUUCUUUCUUGAUCUAUGAACCAAUUUAAUGAAAAAACCAAUUUUUCAACUGAAAAGUAGUUGACUAUUCAAACUAUUGGGUCGGGAUAAGCAAGACCUCUUGCUUCGAGAGAAACUAGAGUGUUGUCUAAGAAAGCUAAUUUGGCAAGCAUAGGUCCCUCGUACCAAAAAAGCAAUGAACUCAAUAAGCAAACAUAUCUAACACGUAUGCAAGCAUCGACCCCGAAUAGCAUCAUCCGACAAUUUAGGCAACCCGAUGUUCCAGCAAAGCAAGCCCCCUUAAAAACCCAUUACUUAAUGAGGAUUUAUUAUGGUUCCUUUCUUUCUUUGAUUUGAAACAUCCCAACGGAAAAUCAAAUCAAUGGACGAUACAUGAACAAGGAAGAGGUUGGAAGAU